GAUGAACGCUGGCGGCGUGCCUAAUACAUGCAAGUCGAGCGAACAGAUGAGGAGCUUGCUCCUCUGACGUUAGCGGCGGACGGGUGAGUAACACGUGGAUAACCUACCUAUAAGACUGGGAUAACUUCGGGAAACCGGAGCUAAUACCGGAUAAUAUAUUGAACCGCAUGGUUCAAUAGUGAAAGACGGUUUUGCUGCCACUUAUAGAUGGAUCCGCGCCGCAUUAGCUAGUUGGUAAGGUAACGGCUUACCAAGGCAACGAUGCGUAGCCGACCUGAGAGGGUGAUCGGCCACACUGGAACUGAGACACGGUCCAGACUCCUACGGGAGGCAGCAGUAGGGAAUCUUCCGCCAAGGGCGAAAGCCUGACGGAGCAACGCCGCGUGAGUGAUGAAGGUCUUCGGAUCGUAAAACUCUGUUAUUAGGGAAGAACAAAUGUGUAAGUAACUAUGCACGUCUUGACGGUACCUAAUCAGAAAGCCACGGCUAACUCCGUG
rnacentral:rRNA from 1 species